rnacentral:lncRNA from 1 species
GAAAGGAUUUCUUCCGACAGACGUGACCCCAGAAGGCUGCCGAGGGAGACUUUAGGACAAGAGGCGUUGUUUUUUUAGGGAAGGAAGAGGAGCCUGUGCAGAGUUGAACUGGGGUGGAGAGGUGCCUUGUAAAGUAUGGUUUCCAGAGAUGGUGAGACCUCGUAGCUAAGCGUUGUUUCCUCUGCACGUAACUUUUCAGCGUGGCCGCAUUUGGAAAAGGCUGAAGGUAGAAAACUCUGGAAUGGAGAGGCUGGCGACUGGAGCAGGAUCCAGGGGCUUUAAAUUUUAACCUGAAUGCGAUCGAAUGCGCGACUCCCAGAAGAGAUAGCCAGGCGUCCGCCCGGCCGCUCAACCCCCGCCAGGACUCGGAAUGCCUUGCUUUUGGUUCUUUUCGUGAGUUCCGACCAAAUGUUUAAGUGGACUGGGUUUUGCAGAAGCUCAUUUGUAAGCACUGACGGAAAUGGGUUGUGGGCAUUUGAUUUCCUUUGAUUCCAACGUUUUGAAAUAAUGUUUCUCGGAUUUGCUAUUCGAAGCAAUUUUCUAAAAACUCAUAUCUUAUUUGCUAAAAAUAAACUCUUUGGCUCAGUUUGUGUCCAGGCUGUGUACGGCCUCCAACCCUGAGCCCCGAGGAGAUCGA